rnacentral:rRNA from 1 species
GUGUCAGCCGCCGCGGUAAGACGAACCGAGCGAACGUUGUUCGGAAUAACUGGGCUUAAAGGGCGCGUAGGCGGGCUGUCAAGUCUGGGGUGAAAUCCCGCGGCUCAACCGUGGAACUGCCUCAGAUACUGACGGUCUCGAGGGAGGUAGGGGCGAGCGGAACUGUGAGUGGAGCGGUGAAAUGCGUUGAUAUUCACAGGAACUCCGGUGGCGAAGGCGGCUCGCUGGACCUCUUCUGACGCUGAGGCGCGAAAGCCAGGGGAGCAAACGGGAUUAGAUACCCUAGUAGUCC